UACGGAGGGGGCUAGCGUUGUUCGGAAUUACUGGGCGUAAAGCGCACGUAGGCGGCUUUGCAAGUUAGAGGUGAAAGCCCGGGGCUCAACUCCGGAAUUGCCUUUAAAACUGCAUCGCUAGAAUUGUGGAGAGGUAAGUGGAAUUCCGAGUGUAGAGGUGAAAUUCGUAGAUAUUCGGAAGAACACCCGUGGCGAAGGCGACUUACUGGACACAUAUUGACGCUGAGGUGCGAAAGCGUGGGGAGCAAACAGG
rnacentral:rRNA from 1 species